ACAAGUCAAGUAAAAAAAAAACAGAGGAAGUAUAAUUUAUCUAAUAGGAGAUAGCAUCCAAUCAUGAUAUAAUAUAGAUAAUAAAGGAAAUCAUCAAGCCACACUACUACAAAAACACCCUACGGAGUCGCCCUUUUAAAGUCGCCUCAAAUUGAUAUGUGAUACGUAAGGUUUUAGAGUCGCUUCAUACAAAGCAUGUGACACAUAAAAGGCAUCUAAAAAUAAAUUGAAAGUCAUAAACGUCACCUACACUAUAAUAGGCGACACGUUACCUAUACGCAUCCCGUCUUUCAUCAUGUGUGACUCAUAAAGUAUUACUUUACGAGUCGCCUAUAGUCUUGUAUUAUUACAGGCGACACCUUUGCCCAUUUUUUAUUGACAGCAAGCAAAAACCCUAGAAACCUCAUUCAUUCCCUUAUCUUUUUUGUCCCUCUCUCAUCGGCUCCUUCAUUCAUUCCCUUAGUCUUUUUGUUCCUUCCUCUCUUCGCCUCUUACCUUACUCCUCCAUACUCAACAUUGUUCGCGACACUCUCAUCUCCAUCUUCUUCCUAGAGUCUCUACUCUCCAACAUUCAAGAUCUGCUCAAGAUCUGAAUAUUUCCCCCAUUUCAUCACCAAACUCACUUCAAUUACGGCUCAAAAACCUAAUAUUUUCCCCAAAAGUUCAUCAACAAUUUCCAGAUUCUGCACAUUUGUAGCGAAUCAAUCUUCAUCUUCAAUCAAUCAGACAAAUUGAUAAGAUAAGCAAUCAUCAAUGGGAACAACGACAUUGAUAGUAGGAUUAAUCAGAAAGCUAAAGAAGGUUCUAGAAUCUCGACUCGAUUCUCCGAAACUUGUCACUUCUCUCUCCACACUUAUACAUUCUACUCUGACAACUCUCCUCAGGCGCGUCGUAACCUCGGAUCUACCAUUAAGAAGCGCAUCUUUCUGUCAAUCAUGACUUUCUCAGCGCUUCCGAUGUGUCGCAGCAGGCAUUAGAUCAAUUUGAAGAGGAGGUUAAUGCAAUUGUAGAAUGUUGUGAUAGGUUGAGGAUGUUAGUUUGAAAUUCAAAGAGAUGCAUGAAAACAUGGGUCUUGCACUUUUGCCUGGAUCAUAUGAGAAUCUCAUAAAAAACUGUCUUGACUCCACUAAGGUACGCACAAACCAUAGAGUACUGAGAUGGUUCUUCUUAUAGUAUAUUUGUCCUGAUGCACUCAAUGCCAUAUGUCAUGCUUGUGAGGAGAGCUGUGAAUUUAUAUUAGUAUGCUUUGUUUCAAGUCGUAGUUCUUAUGCUAGCUAUGGUCAUUUCAUUUAAUUCAUUGCUAAGUUUAUGUAAAGUAAUGUAAUGGUUGGAUCUCUUAAUGAUAUUGUUGUAGUACAGAGAGGUUUUUGUGAUGCUGACCUUAUCAUUUUGAUUGUUAAACUCAUGGUGAAAUGUAGUGUGGAAGCAUGUUAUAAUGUUUGGAGGAUCAUCUGUGGGUUUUAAUGAUAUGUUUUUGGUAAUUUAAAGCACUGCUAUGAUUGUAUCUUAAA